UACAGAGGUCCCGAGCGUUGUCCGGAAUCACUGGGCGUAAAGGGCGCGUAGGUGGCCUGUGGAAGUCUGCGGUGAAAGCCCGGCGCUCAACGCCGGGUCGGCCGUGGAUACUCUCGGGCUCGAGCUUACUAGAGGCAGAUGGAAUUCCGGGUGUAGCGGUGGAAUGCGUAGAGAUCCGGAAGAACACCGGUGGCGAAGGCGGUCUGCUGGGGUAAUGCUGACACUGAUGCGCGACAGCGUGGGGAGCAAACAGG
rnacentral:rRNA from 1 species